CACAGAACCUCGCCCCAGACCUUAGUUCCCGAUAAAGCCUUUGACUGCUAAAAUUUUUUUAGCCUCUGACUCUUAUCUUUACCCUGCCUUACGCCUGACCCUAACAUUUGGUGCCGAAACCCGGGGGAGGUAGUAGCUCGCCUCCCUUGUCUGAGCUCCCUCCUCGCCAAGCCAGCCGCCAACCACCCUACUCCCAAGCGCCUACAGGAGCCACAGGAAUAUUCAGAAACACAUUGGCUUUUGUGGAUGUCAUAUACAACAUGAAGAACUGGGACAAGGCAACUUGUAAUUUGAGCACUAACACUCUAUGAGGCUGUGAAGAAGCAAGCUGCCAUGAAGUAGAAACUCAUGCUGCAGGGAACUGCUAGUAGUCUCUAGAAGAAAAGAGUGCAGCCUCAGUCCUAGACUGCAAGGAAAUGAAUGGCCAAUAACCCGAGAAAGCCUGAAAAUAAGUUCUAACCCAGUUGAGCCUCUGAUGAGACUGAGACCCAACCAACACCUGGACUUCAGCCUGGUGAAAUCCUGAAGCACGGA